CCUUCUUCUUUUCCCAAUGUCAAAUCGAUUUUAAAUUUUUGUUCUUUUUUCUCUUUUCUCUAACUUCUCACAUUUCACUUUUCACUUCCCUCUUCUCUCACUUUUGUCAUCUUAUUCUUUCUUUUCUCUUCCUCUCCCUCUAUGCAAAACCUCCUCUGAAAAAACAUAAAUUGAUUGUCUUUUCAUUUUUCAAGUAAACUAAAAUUCAUAUCUCAACUACUGAAAAAUCGCCGGCGAUGGUGGCGUGGGCGCGAACAGGAUAGCAGAUGACGAAAUCGUGCUCCAUCGGCGGUGAUGGAUUCCUGAGAUGGUCGGGAUUCGAAAGGCACUUUCUUUCAAUUUUAUUGGAUCUGGAAAUAUUAUGUUUUCUUUCAUUGUUAUGCAGGAAAGCUUUAUUUUCAUAGAUUAAGAAGAAGACAUGACCUGGUAUACAUAGACGUCCUGGUGAUUUAAGAUAUACCAAUGUUGGUGAUGAUGAGCAAUGCUUUUGGAGGUUGGGAGAGAUAUUAAAAGGUGAAAAUGACAUUUAUGUGUUUUCCGUUGGAUGAGCAAUUGGAAGUUUUCACUAACAGAUAAAUUGACGAUUUUAAAUAUCUCAAGAAAGUAAAAUUCAUGGUACUACAGUUUUUUGUAUUCAUCACUAAGAAAUGGUGCCAAGGGUCCCUCUUUUUAAUAAUAAUCAAUUUAUGUUGUGAGUUUCUCCCUCUUUUUAAGAAUAAGCCACUUAUAUUGUGAGCUCCUCAAAUAUGUAAAAAAUAUUUAGAUUAAAUACAGCCUCUUUGCCUUUUUAAGACUAUGCCGACAGGGAAAACUAGAUAAUGUGUCGACCGUGUUAUAGUUAAUACCUCUUUAUUUGAGUUCAUGAAAAGUUUAGAUAAAAUGUAAUUUGUCUGCUUUGCAUAUUUGGUUGUCAACAAUUUCCUUUGAAUGUAACUGGGUGAUCCAUACACAGUUGAACGAAUAUAUGCUACAGAUCUAUGAAUGAAGCUUGGAUAGAUGAAUAUAAGAUCUACAAAUCCAAUCACUUAGCUUUGUGUUAGAUGUGGUGAGGAUUUUGUUGGUGAUUUUUGCAUGGUCCAACAUUUGGGGGCAAUGAUGAUAUCUGGACCGAAAACUGCACAUUUGGCAUUAAAGGCUUUGGGGAAUAAUAAUGCAAUUAAUAGAACAUGUGAAUCUGGUAGAGUAGAACUACAACUUAUUUUGGUUUUUGUUGAAUUAGAGGAUAUUGUUGAUGCUUAAAGUUUAUAGUUAAGUUGAUUUAGUAAAGGUGGAUUAGUGAUUUUAAGAAAGGUGGAUUUGUUGAUAUAUAGUGAUUUCAGAAUUUGUUAUAUACUUUUUUGAAGUUUUAUAAUUAUGAAGAAGUGUAACUAUUUUUCUAAUGUUUAUAAACAUUGAG